AAACCAUUCAGUAUGAAGGCACAAAUGAAAACCUAAAAAAAAAAUGUAAAAAAAAAAAUUAUAGCAAUAAUGAUGUUAACGAUGGAGCUUAAUGCUGUCUUGCAAGGAGUAUGAGGCGCAAGCGUUUUUUAAAAAGACUUUCGGAUAAAUGUUUUAAAUGAGAUGGUAAUUCAUUAUACGUCUUUGCAAUAUUGUAACUGAAGGAGCGUUUAAAUAGUGACGUUUUGUGAGUAGGUAUAGUUAUAAAAAACCGAUCUCUAACAUUGACAUUAUGUCAAUGUCAUAUCAUCAUAUAAUCGGGCACUAGUGAGCUUAGAUGUUCUUCCCGAAACCUUUUGGGGAUGUUUUAAAUAUACGUUCCAGCGAUGUGGUCAUACCUCUAUGAAAAUAGGUACUUUUACAAUAGACAUUUAACACGUGCCAGGCAUCUAUUGUUUUAACAAAGACCAGGCCGUUAUAGAAAGUGUUUAAUUUACAUUUUUUUAUAUCAAGGACGUGAGUCGCCAUUUUUAAGAACUCGCAGCUAACACCGCGUUGCGCCGGCGUGUUCACAAAUCACCGCUCACAACUACAACCGGUACGCCAUGAGUUUUGUUUUAAGACAGUGGAUUGUUUAUUUUUCAUCCUUAUUAAAGUGUAUGGUCUCAACAAAUUACAAAAGCUGUCCUAAGCUAAUCUCAAAUUGAUGUUGAUGAAGAAAAUCUGAAUAUAGCAUUGGCAAUAUAGAACUGGUUGAGGCGGUGGUUGAGGUGUAAUGUACAUAUACUUUUGUAAUUUUUUUAUCAAUCUGACAUGCCCGUAGAAUUUUGUUUUAAUUUCAAGAUUAAUAAAUAUGAAUUGCUAGACA